rnacentral:lncRNA from 1 species
CCAACAAAAACGUUUCUUGAGGGAUUAAAACCCUACUCUUCUCCCACCAUAUUCACAUGAAAUACCAAACUAAUCAAAUUCAAUAAUAACCGUAUUAAGAUCUUGUUUCUAAUACUGUUCACCCCAUAUACCACUGGUAACCAAGUUUUUACCAGUUUUUUUGUGCGAAGAAUUAUCAGACUUUCCAUCUGCUACUGCACCAUAGUUCAUCACGUCGAAGAAUUUCGGUGCUAAAGGAAACACGAAAAAACAACAAAAAUGUAAGAACAAUUCCAGAGCCAGAACUCAAUGCCAUUUCUUAAUUCUUGUGUUAUGCAAGGAACGCUUUGAAGUUUAUAUUGGUCCAUAUCAUAUCAUGUAAGAUUUUAUUGAUAUUAAUUGAUCUCCCUUUUUAUAUCACGUUCGAUGCAGUUUUAAAGAAAGUAAAAUGCUGAUGGAAACGUAUAAAUGCAUGCAACAACUUUAUUUUUUCCAUCAAAUUGCAUGAAUUUGAUCAAUUUAUUGCUGCUUUACACAUUAUAUUUAAUUAUUUUAAAGUUGGUAAAAUUGGAAAAAUUUGUAAACCACUUAUGAUUAUGCUUUUUUCUACACAUUCGGUAUCCUGUCUCUCUCAUUCGGUAUCUUUGACAAGAUUCUAAUUCUAAUUCAAAUUGUAUUAAAAGUGGGAUAGUCUAGUUCGUUUUAAUUAGUUCUUAUUACAAGAGUCCCUUGACUUUGUAACUACUUUUAAUUUGUAGAAACUAUCUACGUUACUCAUAAAAAGGAACAUAAAGAGAAGUUUUUGAGUAAGCUAAAAGAACAAAUUUUAUAACGUGGGCGAAUUUCAUUUCGCUAUCCCUACCAUUAUCGAAAUUUUAAUUGAAUUACUAAAUUUAAAUUUAUCUCGAUUGAGUUGUUCAAGUUUAAUACGAUAAUUGAUAUUCCACUUAAUUGCUUCAUGACACCCGAAAAAUUGAAAAUGUUAUAAAAGAAGGGUUACGACAAUAUUUUCAAAUUAAAAUUGUUAAGGCAUAUAUGCUUGCAACAUUUAACAGGCAGUUUAGUGAAAUUGAUUGAUUUUAUACCACUUUUAAUUUUUUCAAUAGUUCAUGGUUGCAUAAAAUUGAAUUUUACUGUGAAAAAAAUUAGCAAAUUUCAAAUUCUCUUCCUUUUUGCGCUUGGAUCAAAUCGAUGUCAGUUCAUAUGAAACCACAUUACAUUGUUGAUACUGUUUCGACCUAACUAAAACCUGCCCUUUGUUGACUAAAACUCUUCAAAAAGAUACCAAUACUAUGCUUUACAACACAAAUGUCAACAAUGUCAUGCUGUUCGUACAUAAGCCAGUACUGUUUUUGUUCACUCGUAGAACCAAAAAAAAUAAAAAUUAAAAAGAAUUAAAUCCAUGCUUGUGUAGAAGAAAGAGGGAGCAUGGUCCCUAGUCUCGUAUUUUGCUAGGCAUGAUUCCUUAUUGUAUGAACGUGUUUAUUGGACAAAUCAAGACAAUGGUCACAUGAUGUAUAUCAAAUGUAUCAUUGCAAUAUUUGAAUUAUUCUGUUCAAUAAUGUGUAUACUUUUGAAAAUAGUAAUUAUUAUUUCUAUUUUAAAAUCUAGGACAUGUUUGGAAAUAUUUCUUCAUAAUAUUGUGACAAAGGAAUUUUAAGAUUUGAUGGGAUCUUAACUCAUCAAACGGUCUUAAGCAUGCCCACAGAGAGUCACAAUGAUGUCCCAAGGAGGAAUCAAGCACGAUAAAAAGUACCAGAUGAAGGGAUUCUUAAAUGAAUUAAUCUAGUUGUACAAACUUUGUUUGCAAACUAUUUUGAAAUGAUUGGCUUAGAUGUUGCCAAAACAUAAUCUGUAAACCAAGUUUCUCAACCUAAUUUAUAUAAAUAAUAUAAUUCUUCUUGAAUCACAUCAGAGGUUUGAACUCGACUCAAAUAUUCAGAAUUCAAAUCCCUCCCCGAAUUGUUGCAUAACUAAAAUGAUUAUCUGCAAUAAAUUUUAUGGUUAAAUCAUGCCAAGUGAGAAUGAAAUUCUUGUUAAAGAUUAAAUUUAAGUACAUAAAUAUGUCUCAUCUGAAAUUGUAUAAGUUUCUCUAUAAUAAUUUAAGUUUUUAGACAAGAUGGUUCAAUAAUUCUCUUCUCCAUUAAAAUAAAAUAAAGUAGAAGUGAUUGUUAGAUAGAUAGGGACUAUAAUAGAUGAUAUAUAUCCUAGAUAGUAGUUGGUAUUGACUAUUAGUUAGUGCAAAGGUUUGUAGUUGAUCUCAACUGCAAAUUUUCUUCGGGAAAAGUUAGGCUCCUUGAGUUAUUUCCUAAGAGUUGAUGUGUUUAUAGGGGUACUUUGUAGGACUUGAGGCCUAAUUUAUUUCAUAGUCACAAUUAUCUUAACUGAAAUCAUUGGCAAGUUUACAAGAGGGUUUAGAGGUAUAUAUCUAAAGGGAAGAACUACCUAUAUAGCCUUCACUUUAAGCCUUGUAACUUGUAAUCAAUUACUGCUUGAAGGGUUCAGAUACAAAAAGUAGGCUAGAAAUUUGGAUUACUUAUGGUCUACAUGUGCCUCCUGCAUAUAUAUUCGUGGAGACACCAUAAUUCAAUGGAGCACCAGGAAAUAAAAAGUUGCAUAUUUAGUUUGAAUAUAGGGUUUAGGCUCAAGUCUACUAAUAUUAUUUAGCUACAACAUUUGUUCACGAAGUUGGGACAUACAGUCCCCGACAAUCUGUUCUUAAUAUAGAUGACCAUUUUUUUCUCGUGCAAAAGUUCUUAUCAAACAGCUGAAAGUUAUGCAGUCUUCUUGAAUUUUCAAGUUUCAAGUACAUUGACAAAGGCUUUGUGUACCACUUGUUUUGAACGGCUUCGGAGUAAACUGAACAUGAUUCAGUCUCCUUCAAUUUGAGAGGUUUUAUUAUAUUUAGAAUUUGAGAUCUUAAUGUCUCAUAUGCCGAAUGUGAUUAAAACUCGAAAUUUCUGCUUAGCUUAACACCAAAAUAGCAUUUACAAUAUUCUCGGGCAAUAUGCAGAAUCUUUACAAGGUUUACCACACUUUAUCUCAAUCAAGAGAACAUAUAUUUGUGUGUGUAUAUAUAGUAGGAAAAUAAUAAUAAGCAAAACUAGAACGGCUUUAAGAAGACGAGGAACAAUUAAUGCACGAAAUUGGAAGAAAAAUGAUUUCAACCUUAACUUCCCGUCUUGGUAUGACAGAUAUUUCUGGUCCCUAAUUUUGGCUUUUUUUUUAAUCUCGUCCAUCCCCUUCUGUCCAUGGCUGUUUAUGACGAAAUCUAAAUAAGUAUAUUAUCCCUUUUCGAACAAUUUAAACUUUUAGAUGAGGUAGUUCAAGCGUUCUACAUAUUCCCUGAGGAGAUGAAAGUCCAAGUUUCCUUGCAGCCAUUUAUGAAAUGUAAACAUAAAUACAGACUGAUCAUUAGGGAGCGUGCUAAAGAUAUAAUGAAAUUAAUAAAUGCAUCUUUUCUCAAUAACUUAAGCUUCCAGAAGAGUGGUUUAACAGCAGUUUCAUUUACGAAAUUGGAACUAAGUAACUUAGUAUUACAUUCAAAAAUUAAUAAACUGUUUUUCAUAAUUUCUUUAAAUGUGAAAGUAGUUCUCUCAUUGACAUCAAGAAGAAGAUAAUUGCAUUCAAUGCUCUACGCAGUGAUCCAUACUUCUUUAAAUCAGUCUAACAAUUCAUCGUGCAAGCCUAGAUACACAUAAUACACAAUACACCGAGAGAAAGAGAAUUCAUGGCUCCUCUUUGUGAACAAAUGAGGGAAACAUGUCAGGCAUAAAAUUAUAUUCAGGAAGUUGAAGUUGCUGCUGAGGAUUAAGGUUAUUAUAAUACAUGGAAUUUGGGGGGUUUUGGUUACUUGUUGGAAGCAUUUGAGAAAGGAUGUAGUCCUGCGGAAAACUUGGGAUUGUGGGCUGCAGCGAAGAUGCCAACAUGGCGGUGGCCUGGCCACGAAGCAUGGCGGGACUGUGGUGGUUGUGCUGGCCUUCAUAGGUGGUGAUCACCACAGACGGAUCUUGAAAUGAUCUUUCAAUUCUUUUCUUCACAGAGCACUUCUGAGUAGUGCAUCUAUAAUAACUCCUACAACAUUAAUGAGGAGAGGGGUUACUGUAAUCAGAUUCCAUUCUUCUCUAUAUUAAUUUUUCUUAAUUCUCUGAAGAAAAUUACAAGUUAAUUUAACAUCAAUUGUUGAGAUAUAUUACUCAUGUUGGCAUGUUUUCUCUAGUAAUAGUAAUCAAAUCAAGAAUUUCAAUUUAAAGGGGUACUAAUCAAUAAUACUUUGAAGACAUAGCAUAAAAUCAAAGUUUUCAUUAAUUAACAAACUUGAAAUAUAAGUUAUAUUGAUACUAAUCAAUUAUUUCGCAUUGUACUGCAGGUGAAGAAAUUAUCAUGGGCAGGAUAUUAAAGAUAUAUAAUAACCUUGGAAAAGGGCUAUUUUUCACUGCUUUCUGGCCAUAUUUCCUCCACCUAUAACCAUCUUCAAGAUUAUCGAUUUCACUCUUUGUCAUGAAGGCAAAACGCGGUUCUCGUUUCUUUUUCUCCCCUUUCUGUUUUGGUUUGUUCCUGGAAAAUAAUUAAGUAGCAGUUAAUUAAUUAAAUAAAGUGUGAAAAUUCAUUUCCAUGAACUAGAUUUGAAGUAAUAGUUGUUGAAAAAUUAGGGUUUUGUUUCAUACAUACAUAGUUUCAAUUUCAAGAUAUGAACAUACAAAUAAGCACAAUUGAUUUAAGAAGAAGAAAGUAAGUAGAAAAAUAUAAAACCAUCCUACUAUUUUUCUUCAGUUCUGUAAAUAAGUAUAAUUAUGAAUAAAUUGAAAAUUAGCAAAGGACCAAAAAAGUCCACCUUGAUAGUAAUGGCAAAGAAAAAUCAAGUAGAAAACCCCCAAAAUACCUACGCUUUUUUAGACUUUUCCUCUUCAUCUUCAAACACUUUUUUCUGCAGAUCUUCCUUGCUUUUUGAGGAUUCCUCUUCACCUCCAACCGCAGAAGAAGACGAAAACUCGGUAGAAUUCGGCGUCAAUGGAUUUUCAUUAUUCCCUC